UACAGAGGAUGCAAGCGUUAUCCGGAAUGAUUGGGCGUAAAGCGUCUGUAGGUGGCUUUUUAAGUCCGCCGUCAAAUCCCAGGGCUCAACUCUGGACAGGCGGUGGAAACUACCAAGCUCGAGUACGGUAGGGGCAGAGGGAAUUUCCGGUGGAGCGGUGAAAUGCGUAGAGAUCGGAAAGAACACCAACGGCGAAAGCACUCUGCUGGGCCGACACUGACACUGAGACGCGAAAGCGUGGGGAGCAAACAGG
rnacentral:rRNA from 1 species